AUAGCAUAUUUUUCAAAAUCAUUCUUGUAGCCUGUCAUUUACUUUCACAUUAGUGUCAGCUUCAUCCAUUAAAAUUUGUUCCUCUUCCCUAACAUGGCUAAGAUGGCUAUUCCCAUGAGUAGCAAAUAUAUGAAAUACUUGUGGGUGGUCUCAAGUCCUUUCCUUGUCUGGAGAGGAAUUACAAAGAGCCAGUCUAUCAGUCAGUUCUUCAUUCUGCCACAGUCGUUGGCUCUGCUUUUAGCAGAGUCAUCUUCAGUUUGCCAUUUCAGUUCCAGAAGUGCAAGCAGUUGUGUAUUGUAAAUGCUAAAUCAUUGCAUCACCCAGUGUACCUUGCAGUCUAUACCAAAUGAAGAUUGAUUACUAUCUCUUUGUUCUCUUUUGUUAUACAUUGUAGCUUCUGAUUUAUGUAGUUUGCUAAUAAGUCAGUUAAGGCAUCAGUUAUGAUGAUGGCUAUGGAAAAGAUUUCAGAUGCAUUCAUCAGCAUUAAUGUUAUUAAUGAAUCUGCUGAAGAUUCAGAACACAUUAAUUAGAUAUAUCCUAGAGCUAUUUUAAAUUUUAUUAGACUAUUGAAUAAUUAAUGAAGAAUUCUGUAUAUUUAGACAGUAUCUGUAAUAUGGCAUACUACCUUCAAAAUGAUAAAUGCUAAUUUCAACCGAAGUUUAUCUAAAGUCAAAAUAUCUAAUUCAUCUCUCCAAAGAAUAAAUUAACAACUUCAUUGCCAUCAAGGGUCACUGUGAAAUUCUAUUCUGAAGCUUACCUCAGUUGUAUGAUUAUGGGAACAGCAGCACUGGAGGCAGAAAGUCAGGGAUCAAAACUUACAGGAUGGUGAGCAUGAGGGUACAAGCCUGCCGCUUUUGUGUGUGCAUGCAAAGAGUCACAAAACUGAAAGAAGUCAUGAAGGCAAUCAAGAUCAAACUUCUUAAACCCUGCCAUGUGCCACCAGUUUUUAAUUGCUAAUUACAUCUUUCGAGCCUUAAUUCUAUCCUCUGAUUUUCUCUAAUAUCCUACCAAAAUUAUGAUCACCAGGAUUAAAGAAAUCUCUUUAUUUUCCUAGGAAAUAGGCCAAAGAAGGCUCUCCCCCAAAUUUAUAUUAACCAUACAAUUCUGAGGAUAAACUUAAAACCUAAGGGGAAAGAUUCCUGAUACCAGUCUUCUUCAGGUUGAUGGUAGUCUGCAGAUUCAGAAGAUGUUCUCCUAUCUUGUGCUAUUCAUGGGAUAGAAGAUGGUCUACUGCCAUCUUCUAUCUCCCAGCGACCGGUGCGCUCUCACAGAGAGGGACUCCUUAGGGUGCCAUCAGCCAAGCAAUGUCGACUGGCGGCCCCCAGGGGGAGGGCCUUCUCUGUGGGGGCUCCUACCCUGUGGAACGAACUUCCCCCUGGACUUCGUCAACUAUCCGACCUUUGGACCUUUCGCUGCGAACUUAAAACCUAUUUAUUCCGUCUAGCUGGACUGGCUUGAUUU